rnacentral:rRNA from 1 species
UACGUAGGGAGCAAGCGUUGUCCGGAAUCAUUGGGCGUAAAGCGCGCGUAGGUGGCCCCGUAAGUCCGCUGUGAAAGUCAAAGGCUCAACCUUUGAAAGCCGGUGGAUACUGUGGGACUAGAGUACGGAAGAGGCGAGUGGAAUUCCUGGUGUAGCGGUGGAAUGCGCAGAUAUCAGGAGGAACACCGGUGGCGAAGGCGGGUCUCUGGGCAGUAACUGACGCUGAGGAGCGAAAGCGUGGGGAGCGAACAGG